GGCGGCGUGCUUAACACAUGCAAGUCGRACGAUGAUCAGGAGCUUGCUCCUGUGAUUAGUGGCGAACGGGUGAGUAACACGUGAGUAACCUGCCCCUGACUCUGGGAUAAGCGUUGGAAACGACGUCUAAUACUGGAUACGACUGCCGGCCGCAUGGUCUGGUGGUGGAAAGAUUUUUUGGUUGGGGAUGGACUCGCGGCCUAUCAGCUUGUUGGUGAGGUAAUGGCUCACCAAGGCGACGACGGGUAGCCGGCCUGAGAGGGUGACCGGCCACACUGGGACUGAGACACGGCCCAGACUCCUACGGGAGGCAGCAGUGGGGAAUAUUGCACAAUGGGCGAAAGCCUGAUGCAGCAACGCCGCGUGAGGGAUGACGGCCUUCGGGUUGUAAACCUCUUUUAGUAGGGAAGAAGCGAAAGUGACGGUACCUGCAGAAAAAGCACCGGCUAACUACGUGCCAGCAGCCGCGGUAAUACGUAGGGUGCAAGCGUUGUCCGGAAUUAUUGGGCGUAAAGAGCUCGUAGGCGGUUUGUCGCGUCUGCUGUGAAAUCCCGAGGCUCAACCUCGGGCUUGCAGUGGGUACGGGCAGACUAGAGUGCGGUAGGGGAGAUUGGAAUUCCUGGUGUAGCGGUGGAAUGCGCAGAUAUCAGGAGGAACACCGAUGGCGAAGGCAGAUCUCUGGGCCGUAACUGACGCUGAGGAGCGAAAGCGUGGGGAGCGAACAGGAUUAGAUACCCUGGUAGUCCACGCCGUAAACGUUGGGCGCUAGAUGUAGGGACCUUUCCACGGUUUCUGUGUCGUAGCUAACGCAUUAAGCGCCCCGCC
rnacentral:rRNA from 1 species